UACGUAGGGUGCGAGCGUUGUCCGGAAUCACUGGGCGUAAAGGGCGCGUAGGCGGCCCUGGUAAGUCUGCGGUGAAAGCCCGGGGCUCAACCCCGGGUCGGCCGCGGGUACUGCCGGGCUGGAGUGCCGUAGGGGCAGGCGGAAUUCCGGGUGUAGCGGUGGAAUGCGUAGAGAUCCGGAAGAACACCGGUGGCGAAGGCGGGUUGCUGGGCUGACACUGACGCUGAUGCGCGAAAGCCAGGGGAGCGAACGGG
rnacentral:rRNA from 1 species